rnacentral:rRNA from 1 species
UACGGAGGGAGCAAGCGUUACUCGGAAUCACUGGGCGUAAAGGGCGCGUAGGCGGCCUAGCAAGUCUGGUGUGAAAGCCCAGGGCUCAACCCUGGAAGGGCACUGGAAACUGUUAGGCUUGAGUUCCGGAGAGGAGGGGGGAAUUCCAGGUGUAGCGGUGAAAUGCGUAGAUAUCGGGAGGAAUACCGGUGGCGAAGGCGCCCCUCUGGACGGAAACUGACGCUGAGGCGAGAAAGCGUGGGGAGCAAACAGG